UUGGGUACUACAAUUCCGCUAAACAUAGACAUUGAAUUGAGUAUUAUAAAAAAACCACAUACUCCUCAGACACAUGUAAUCUCCGAUCUCACAUCCAAUCCCGAAUUUCAUCAGGGCAAAUUGGGCAAUUGUAGCUUUGUUUUAACCACCGAAUGAAAACCACGAGAACAAAGCAAGCGUGUGAACUCGAAAAUGCAGAGCAGUGUCAUUUACCUUCUCCUCUUUGAUUUCGGUUGCAAAACCUCAAAGACCUAUAAACCCUAGCUCUUCGUGUAGAUUCAACCCUUUUUCUGUAUCCUUGCCUUAGAUCGAUUGAUUUUGUCUCCGUCAUUGAAGUCUCUGUGGUCAUCGUUGCAGCGAUUACCAAAUCUGUUGUUCUUCGUCGUCGGGAUUGAGUGGCUGGAUUUCGGCUCCGCCUCUGGUGCCGAAGCACGUAUGGGAUGCUUAGGGCAACGUCGGUCCCCGAGAGCGCUGUCGAGUGUUCGAAGUCCCAGAGCUUGGCGAUCCACGUUGCAGCUUGGACUCUGUUCGGGCUCUGGUAAUUAUGGUAGAGUUUCUGAAAGAGAUGUUUUGUUCUGAUGAUGCAUUCAACUACAAUGAAGAAACUGGUUUCAUAUUUGCUUUCAAAAGGUUUGAUUCUCUGUUUUUAUGUUUAAGAAUGUGUUUGUAGCUUAAUUAAAAAUUUUGAGUCUCUGGAAUGUGCUGCUAAGUCAACAAUAAAAUAAAAAAUAAAAAAAGCCCAACUGGCAUUUGGAAAGAUGUCUUACACGACCAUCAUUGUAUAAUUUUGGGUGUUAUUUAUUACAGUAUUUUUUUGUGAUUUAUCAUUGCAUCUUUUGGGUUGCACGUAACAUGUUUGAAUGAAUGCCGGUUUGAAAAUGUGUUUUUGCAACCUUAACUAGUUUUGUUCUGUACUUAUAAAUUGGGAAUGAUGACAUCAGGCUUAUAAUAACACUAUAUAUAUAGUAACAUCUAGUUUGGUUCUAUAGAUUUACCGGAAAAAAAAAAAAAAAAAAAAAAAAAUUUCUCGGGUACUGUAAUUGGGAAAGAUACAUUCUUGAUGUGGUCUAUGUCGUAAAUUUUAUGAAAUUGCCACAAAAGAACAUUCAUUCUGAAUUUUAUGAAAUUAUUUUGUUUGUAUUUAUGAGCACAGACCUUUAAUACUUUCAUGAUCGCAUUUCUAAUUUCUAAUUUCUAAUUAAUCCUUGUGCCUGAAACUGUAAAAUAAUAUCAUUGUUCUAUGAAGAUUAUUUCUUAGCCCUUAGAUUACACUCCGCAAUGAGAUGUCCUAACCUUGAACUUUCACUCUUUUAUAGUAUGGUGUCAUGUGUAUAAUUCUUCCAUUUUAAAAAAUAAAAAUAAAAAUAAUGAUAAAAAGUAUAGUAUUGUAUGAACUGAAGAAAUAUCUGUACCAAGGGAAGAAACCAAAAGUCCCAUUGGGCAGCGAGGCAAGACCUCAGUACAGAAACCAGACAGAAAAGGAUCAAACUAGAGGUCUGACCACUACUAAUACAAAAGGUACCCAAUAUUUCAAAGCAUUCCAGCCCAAAAAGACCAACAAAAAACUGCCCUUGAUACCCAAGUACGUUGCAAGGCAUGAAGGUAGCACAAAAAGAUAGUACUAGUUUGAGCGGGUCUUAUGAGGCCUGUUUCUAGUCUAAAUAUAAAGGGCUCUAAUUUUAUCAAACUUAGAUUGAAUUAACCAUGCCCUAUCACUUCCUUUAUCUUCUUUCUUCCCCUUUCAUCUUGAGUCAAUAGAUUUUAAGGUAUUAUGUUUUCUAUUACAGACCCUUUGUUCUUAGAGCACUACUCUUUCUAAAAGUGUAGUGCCAAUAUUUUUGUUAUGUUGAGGCUAUACCUUGUAUACAAUGGAAUGAAAAAAAUAAAAUUCAAGCAACUAACUCCAAAUUAUUGAGAAAAAGGAGUUGUUGAGUUGACUAGAUUCUAUCAAAAUUUCAUAUGUUAAUUUAGAUCAAUAACAUCCACAAAAAUCAGCUCUCUUAAACAUAUAUUAUCUAUAAAGAAGACAAUAUGAACAAAAACAAUUCGAAUGGUAAGGAAAUCAUUUAAAAAUAGUUAAACUAAUAAUACCUUCUUCUUUUUUUCAAAAAAAAAAAAAGGGAAAAGAA